rnacentral:rRNA from 1 species
UACGUAGGGGGCCAGCGUUGUCCGAAGUUACUGGGCGUAAAGAGCGCGUAGGCGGGUCUUUUAAGUGAGGGGUGAAAGGUUCAGGGCUCAACCCGGACACUGCCUUUCAUACUGGGGACCUUGAGUGUGGGAGAGGCGAGUGGAAUUCUUGGUGUAGCGGUGAAAUGCGCAGAUAUCAGGAGGAACACCGGUGGCGAAGGCGGGUCUCUGGGCCGUAACUGACGCUGAGGAGCGAAAGCGUGGGGAGCGAACAGG